rnacentral:snoRNA from 1 species
AUUGUUUUGUAGUUCAUAAGCAGGAUGACUGGGCUGUCAUGGCUGUGUAGUGAGGGGUACCUCUCUCAAACCUUGCCAUAGUGUUGGCAUAAUAUCCAAGUGAUG